rnacentral:tRNA from 1 species
GCUUUCUUAGCUCAGUCGGUUAGAGCAUCUGACUGUUAAUCAGAGGGUCCCUGGUUCGAGCCCAGGAGAGAGCG